UACGUAGGGUGCAAGCGUUAAUCGGAAUUACUGGGCGUAAAGCGUGCGCAGGCGGUUUUAUAAGUUUUGUCGUGAAAGCCCCGGGCCUCAACCUGGGAAUUGCGAUGAAGACUGUAAGGCUAGAGUGUGUCAGAGGGGGGUAGAAUUCCACGUGUAGCAGUGAAAUGCGUAGAUAUGUGGAGGAACACCGAUGGCGAAGGCAGCCCCCUGGGAUAACACUGACGCUCAUGCACGAAAGCGUGGGGAGCAAACAGG
rnacentral:rRNA from 1 species